rnacentral:sRNA from 1 species
UAUUCUGCCCCAUGGGGAAGGAUGAGAAGCUUCGACUAAGGUUCGACUCGAGCGAAGCGAGAGAACGUUGCCGCAGGCAACGGCCCGAAGGGCGAAGCGCUUUAGCGCCGAGUAAUCCUUCCCCCACCACCA